GACAGAGGUCUCGAGCGUUAGGCGGAAUCACUGGGCUUAAAGCGUGUGUAGGCGGGUUCCUAAGUACCUUGUGAAAUCCCAUGGCUCAACCAUGGAACUGCUUGGUAUACUGGGUGUCUUGAGCCAGCUAGGGGCUACCGGAACAAAUGGUGGAGCGGUGAAAUGCGUAGAUAUCAUUUGGAACGCCAAUGGUGAAAACAGGUAGCUGGGGCUGUGCUGACGCUGAGACACGAAAGCCAGGGGAGCGAACGGG
rnacentral:rRNA from 1 species